rnacentral:rRNA from 1 species
UGGGGAAUUUUGGACAAUGGGGGAAACCCUGAUCCAGCCAUCCCGCGUGUGCGAUGAAGGCCUUCGGGUUGUAAAGUACUUUUGGCAGGAAAGAAACGACAUGGGUUAAUACCCCGUGAAACUGACGGUACCUGCAGAAUAAGCACCGGCUAACUACGUGCCAGCAGCCGCGGUAAUACGUAGGGUGCAAGCGUUAAUCGGAAUUACUGGGCGUAAAGCGUGCGCAGGCGGUUCGGAAAGAAAGAUGUGAAAUCCCAGAGCUCAACUUUGGAACUGCAUUUUUAACUACCGGGCUAGAGUGUGUCAGAGGGAGGUGGAAUUCCGCGUGUAGCAGUGAAAUGCGUAGAUAUGCGGAGGAACACCGAUGGCGAAGGCAGCCUCCUGGGAUAACACUGACGCUCAUGCACGAAAGCGUGGGGAGCAAACAGG